CGAUGAUCUCCAGCUUGCUGGGGGGAUUAGUGGCGAACGGGUGAGUAACACGUGAGUAACCUGCCCUUGACUCUGGGAUAAGCCUGGGAAACCGGGUCUAAUACUGGAUACGACCUUCUGGCGCAUGCCAUGUUGGUGGAAAGCUUUUGUGGUUUUGGAUGGACUCGCGGCCUAUCAGCUUGUUGGUGGGGUAAUGGCCUACCAAGGCGACGACGGGUAGCCGGCCUGAGAGGGUGACCGGCCACACUGGGACUGAGACACGGCCCAGACUCCUACGGGAGGCAGCAGUGGGGAAUAUUGCACAAUGGGCGCAAGCCUGAUGCAGCGACGCCGCGUGAGGGAUGAAGGCCUUCGGGUUGUAAACCUCUUUCAGUAGGGAAGAAGCCGCUCCUUUUUGGGGGUGGUGACGGUACCUGCAGAAGAAGCGCCGGCUAACUACGUGCCAGCAGCCGCGGUAAUACGUAGGGCGCAAGCGUUAUCCGGAAUUAUUGGGCGUAAAGAGCUCGUAGGCGGUUUGUCACGUCUGCCGUGAAAGUCCGGGGCUUAACUCCGGAUCUGCGGUGGGUACGGGCAGACUAGAGUGCAGUAGGGGAGACUGGAAUUCCUGGUGUAGCGGUGAAAUGCGCAGAUAUCAGGAGGAACACCGAUGGCGAAGGCAGGUCUCUGGGCUGUAACUGACGCUGAGGAGCGAAAGCAUGGGGAGCGAACAGGAUUAGAUACCCUGGUAGUCCAUGCCGUAAACGUUGGGCACUAGGUGUGGGGGGACAUU
rnacentral:rRNA from 1 species